rnacentral:pre_miRNA from 1 species
AUUCGUUGGAUGGGUGUGAGGCAUUGGAUUGAUUUUGUUCAAUCCAUGCCCCACAUUCAUCAGGGAGUCGU